UCGGCUCAAAACCGAACUCCCUUCUCGGCUCAAAAACCGAACUCCCUUCUCGGCUAAUUCCAGCUCAAAGCCGAGCUUCCUUCUUCUGCCUUCUUCUUCCAACUGAAAUGAGCACUCCAUUAUUACACUAAAGAACUACGACGUCGGCUGGAUCUUCGGCUAUUCAACUUGGAUAUAAUUAGAGAGCAUGGAACUUGAGACAACUACUAUGUGAUAGAUAUAAACUAUUUUCCAGGAUAUGGGAAAAUGCCAGAAUACGAGCACAUAUUUACAGAUUUCCUUCUGAGCCUAGUCAAGAGCUAGUAUAUCUAAAGAGCUAUCGCCUGCAGCAAGAGCCAUAUCCGAGCAGUGCGAACCUCUGGGCAGUUUAUCGACGUGCAUCAUUAUGCUUUGGAGGGCGAGGGAAAGUAAGACAUGCUAUGGUGAUUUUGGCAGUGACUCUGUGCUGUUUCGAAGGUAAUCAAUUGCUCCGGCCUUCUGUAGUUCGAGUUUCGUUUUGUGGCUCGUGUCGAUGAUCAAGUGUUGGUAUAGAGUAUGGAAGUGCUAAUUAGUUAGCAUUAAUUUCUGACCAAUGUCUGUUGGUCUUGUAAAUUCUUGUUAGUUAGACAUCUGUUGGUAAAAUUUCACUCUGAAAUCGUUGCCUAAUUCACAUUAUUUCAUUUUUUGAGAAGUUAAUAUGUUUUCUUUUAUGAUGAUAA